GGAUUGUGGCUCAGAGGUAGAGCGCUCGCCUAGCCCGGGCGGGACCCGGGUUCAAUCCUCAGCACCA
rnacentral:tRNA from 1 species